GACGAACGCUGGCGGCGUGCUUAACACAUGCAAGUCGAACGGAAAGGCCCUGCUUUUGUGGGGUGCUCGAGUGGCGAACGGGUGAGUAACACGUGAGUAACCUGCCCUUGACUUUGGGAUAACUUCAGGAAACUGGGGCUAAUACCGGAUAGGAGCUCCUGCUGCAUGGUGGGGGUUGGAAAGUUUCGGCGGUUGGGGAUGGACUCGCGGCUUAUCAGCUUGUUGGUGGGGUAGUGGCUUACCAAGGCUUUGACGGGUAGCCGGCCUGAGAGGGUGACCGGCCACAUUGGGACUGAGAUAAGGCCCAGACUCCUACGGGAGACAGCAGUGGGGAAUAUUGCACAAUGGGCGGAAGCCUGAUGCAGCAACGCCGCGUGCGGGAUGACGGCCUUCGGGUUGUAAACCGCUUUCGCCUGUGACGAAGCGUGAGUGACGGUAAUGGGUAAAGAAGCACCGGCUAACUACGUG
rnacentral:rRNA from 1 species